CAGAGACUGCUCGGUAAAACACUGGUCCCUUCAGGCGAAGGCAGAUAAAGCCCCAAUGAGCAUAACCAACAAUACCCUUUACACAAUAUUACUCAAAACCCCCAACCCCCAACACACACAAGCUAUGCUCACACACAAAACAGCCAUUAUGAAGAGAAAUCACCAACUAAAGGCGAGUUUUAUGCAUCUAACUGCAUAGGAGGUUUCCUUCCAAUCUGGGUGAAGCAUCAGCCAAGUGGCUGCUUCAGCAACCCCAAAGGUGGGUGUGCUGUUCCCAGAUUUUCUUCCCCAACUUGGAUUCAGUCUUGACACAGGCCUGAAGGAAACACGCUUUCAGUUGAAGCAAGUACCAGCCCCUGGCCCCCAGAAGCAAAGAUCACACCGCCUGACUCCUGAUUCAGCUGCCCCUCUUCAUUCGCCCUGAUUUCUGGACCCACUGCCCCUCUGCCGGCCAGGCCCAUUCACCCAGGCCCUACCCACGGCCAGGGGCAGGCAGGAAGGUUGGAGAUGGGUGCAGAAGCACUGCUGAGCCUUCCACUGACAGCCUUAUCUUAUCUCACAACUGAGAGGGGUGGAAAUACAUCCUUCUCUACUACUACAGCCUCAAAUGACCAUCUCCCUCUUAGUAAACAUUGGGAAUGUCCGGAGUGGCCACAGAACACAAAGGAAGAUCCCCAACCCACUCCGAAAGAUAAGUGGGAGUGAAGGUAACAUAGGAAGUGGGCACUAGAGGUGGUGGGGCGCCAGACCCGCGAGUGUCUUCACUCCUUUCCCAAAAAGUUUUUGAAGUCCCCAGCGAACUAAACACGUGUCGCUGCCAAACAGGAGACACGCCCGAAACCCUCCAGUCCCAAAGCUUUUUCCCCUCCCGGGAAGGCCUGGAUUUGAAUGGGACGCCAUCGCCCGGGGAGUUUAACCUGCACCAGGAGGCACGCCCACUCGCCGCCCCCGGCCCCGCCCGCGCCCGGGUGCAGCCCUCGCGAAGGUCCAUACCAUGAAACUAUGAUGGAACCUGAACACUCCUGAGGCAAACAGGGAUUUGUGCUCACGAAUGUGGGAUCCCACAUUCCUCAAUCAAAGGACUGCUGGAAAUCAGACGUUAAAGGAAAGAAGUGUUACCUUCUGCCAGAAGGAAGAGGAAAGCAAUCACUGAGUGGAGACUUCCUUAUGACCUGGUCCCUGAGUGAGGAUGGCAGGAACAUAGCCACCCUUCAACCCGUGAUGGACAUGGAGCAUAAGUGAGAAAUAAACCUUUAUGUAAGCCACUGAGAGUUAGGGAUACAGUGUGCAUUUUUGUAAUCUCAGCAUACCAACUCUACCGUAGGGUAUAUCUACCCCAGGGCUGGAGGAUACAGCAUUGUCUCAUAAGAUCUCUGUUAUGAACUGAUGUUUGUAUGCCCCCCCCCCCCGUUUCGUAUGUAGAUGCCCUAACCCCAUGGGUUGUAUGUUUGCAGAUGGGGCUUUUGGGAGGUAAUUAAGUUUAGAUGAAGUUAUGAGUGUGUGGGCCUCAUGAUGGAAUUGGUCCCCUUAUGAGAAGAUACCAGAGAGCUCUCUCUUCAUCUCUCUCCACCAAGUGAGGACACAGUGAGAAGGUGGCCAUCUGCAAGCUACAAAGAGAAUCCUCAUCAGAAUCCAACCAUGCUGGCACCCAGAUCUUGGACUUCGCAGCCUCCAGAACUAGGAGAAAUAAAUUUUUGUUGU